AUUGCCGCGGGAGAAGCCCCCCGACGUGGUUUCCCUGCCGAGCGCUGUGUCCGCAUCCCGCGGCUGAUCCAAACCCAAUUCCCGGUGGGAAACGGAGGCACGGAGCCCACCGCCACCGUUCCGAGGCCAGGCACAGCAGCAGCGUGGGAUUAGGGAUUUGCUGGCGGCACAAUGAGCACCUUUGUGCCUUAAAAAGGCUCCGGACGGGCCCCGGCAGGGGAGGCGGGGGAGCCGCGGGGUCAGCGCAUCCCGGCUCUCCCUCCCUCUCCGGCAGCCGGUUUUGGGGAACACCGCGGGGUCGGGAUGGGGUCGCAGCCCCGAGAAGCGAACCCCCAGCACGGCGCAGGGAUUGUGGCGAGGGACGGGGCGGCUCCGCUCCGCUGGGGGAGGAAGAGGAACCACCGUGGCCGGUUUCGCAAGGGCAGGCGGGAGGGAGGUGCCGCAAUUCCCGACUCCCGGGGCUGUGCCGCGGGCAGGUAACGGGAGGGGAGCGUGGGAGGACGGGGUGAGGCCCCGGUCAGGGCCGGCAGCUCCUUCUCCCCCGGGGCACCGGCAGCUCAGCGCGGUGUACCCGCACCGGGGACAGCGAGCCCGGUGCAGGAGGGGGUCACCGCCAGGCCGGACCCCUCCCCCCGAGAUGAUUUUAGGAGCGAUCCUGCUGGAAACGGGACGAAAUCCCGGCGGGUUGGAGUCGUGGACAGAAGAACGGCACCGGGUGCGAUCCGGGCCCGGGGGCUGCGCGCCCCGCCCGGCUCGGGGGGCGGCGACCCCGGCGGGGCCCGAGGCCGCUCUGGGCCCCCGCUGUGGCCCCGGGGGGGCCCCGCCUCCGCCCAGCCCCGCCCGAGCAGUCCCGGGGGGCCCCGCCGGACCCUGACCGAGGGCAGAUGGAGGCCCGGGAUGGCUCCGGUGCGCGCCCAACGCCCGCAGAAGGGCCCGGCCGCGGCCCUGGCGCGGGGGAAGGGGGGGGAGAGCGGGAACCAUCCCGAGGCUCCCCCCCCACGGGCGGCCCCUCCCGGAGCGGGGAGGCCCCGCGUGGCCCCGCCGGCCGCACUCACCCGCAGCCGCCGCCCGGAGCCCUCACGGAGCCGCCGCCCGGAGCCCUCACGGAGCCGCCGCUCGCCCCCCCCCGUCCCGCGCGCGCCCCGCGCCAGGCAGCGGCGGCAGUGACGUCACCGCAACCCGGGAGUGACGUCACCGCAACGCCGCGGGGAGCGGCGCCCGCCGUGGGGAGGGGAGGGGCGGGCCCAGGCGUGAGCAAUCAACCGCCGAGACGGGAUCUGUGCAGCCGCUAUAGAGCCCUGUGCGACCCAUAUACACCCCCUAUACACAGCCCUGUGCGCCCCAUAUACACCUCCUAUACACAGCCCUGUAUGUGCCCUGUGCACCCCAUAUACACCCCAUAUACACAGCCCUGUAUGUGCCCCAUAUACACCCCCUAUGCACAGCCCCCACAUACACAGCCCUGUAUGUGCCCUGUGUGCCCCACAUACACCCCCUAUACACAGCCCUGUAUGUGCCCUGCACAUCCCAUAUACACCCCCUAUACAAAGCCCUGUAUGGGCCCGGUGCGCCCCAUAUACACCCCCUAUACACAGCCCUGUGCGCCCCAUAUACACCCCAUAUACACAGCCCUGUAUGUGCCCUGUGCACCCCAUAUACACAGCCCUGUGCGCCCCAUAUACACCCCCGAUACACAGCCCUGUGCACCCCAUAUACACAGCCCUGUGCACCCUAUAUACACCCCCUAUACACAGCCCUGUAUGUGCCC
rnacentral:lncRNA from 13 species